GCACGCUCGACUGCAUCUGCAUAAAGCCAUUUCCCUGGACCUAAGCUGUGAUCCGCAAGGUAGCGUCGAUACUUGGACCAGUAACGCUGAGUCACCUGAUCAGUGAGCGUUGCUGGU
rnacentral:sRNA from 12 species